AACCCGACUCCAUGAAGCUGGAUUCGCUAGUAAUCGCGCAUCAGCCACGGCGCGGUGAAUACGUUCCCGGGCCUUGUACACACCGCCCGUCAAGCCAUGGAAGCCGGGGGUGCCUGAAGUGCGCUGCCGCAAGGCGCGCCCUAGAGCAAAACCGGUGACUGGGGCUAAGUCGUAACAAGGUACC
rnacentral:rRNA from 1 species